rnacentral:ncRNA from 2 species
CGGGGCGAAUCGUCUCCGGGUGCCCGCAAGGGAGAAUCGGGAACGCGGUGCGGCAGGCCUUGGGGCCGCCCAUUCCGCGACGUGCCCAACGCUGUGAGGGGGACUGGGCCGGCAGAUGCCACUGAUCCGCGGAUCGGGAAGGCGCCGGCGCAGAGUGAUCCCGAGUCAGAAGACCGGCCAGGAGACCCUUUCCGGC